rnacentral:tRNA from 1 species
CGGGGCGUAGCGCAGUCUGGUCAGCGCAUCUGCCUUGGGCGCAGAGGGUCGGAGGUUCGAAUCCUCUCGCCCCGA